UAAUAUCUGUGUAGUUCGUGCUGAAAUGCUUUAUGUAUUUUCUGAGGUGUUUGUCUGCACUUUCUCUUCAACCCUGUUAUUGUCACAUUUACACCAUUAAAGAUAAUGGCUGGAUCUUUCGGUUUGUGACCACAUGCUUCAUAUUCUUUCCGUCUUUAUUAGUAUUUCAUCAUCAAGCUUAGCAUUUCAGCUCUGUUAUGGAUGAAAAUCAUAGUAAUACAUUUUUACACAUUAAAAUAUAUUAAAUAUUGUAUUGCAAUAAAAUACGUACUGUAUAAUAUGCUGUGGUGCAAUGAUAUUUACUAAGUAAGGACAUGAAAAAAGAAACUGAGACUGAGAAAAGAGAAAUAUGCUGCCUGACACUGAAGCUGGUUGAGUGUUGUGGAUUCUGACUGUGACGGGGCUGAACCGCUGCAGUGCUGUAGGCUUGUGAUGGUCAGGUACGGCCCUGUGACUCCAGCUGUAACCAAACAAAUAACACUCUAAUGAUCCCUGAACGUGUCACAGAAGACGGUGGGAAUGAUCCGACCGUCCUCGGCGUGUCAGGACACCGUGAUCCGGAUGUUUUGACACUGGGCUUUGAUCAAUAGAGUCUGUGUUUUGUGGUGGGACUGACACCCGUUUGCGGCACCGUUUAAGAGGUCAGGAGAACACUCUCAAUGAAUCAAAGCGCCCGACACAUGAGGCCUGACACAUGUUGGACAACACUGACCACAACAACGCCACUGCCUUUGAUGAGCUGCCCGACUGAGUGUGUUUACAUGCGCCUGUCCGUCAUCUGCAGAGGGCGGAGCCUUUGAUGACAUCACAGGAUAACAGAGGAACACGUACAGCAUGAGACUGAGUGCCGCGAUGACUCCGCGCCGGCUACGAUUGUCCUGCGAGGAGCCCGAGGUGCAGUACGAGGGUGACUUACAGCUGCUGUGAAGAGGCUGGAGGGAGAGCGGUGUGCCGAACACCUUCACGGUCAGCAGUCAUGACUGUGAGUCUGGAGGACGUCGAGGACACUUCUGUUUGUAGGAGGAAUUGCAUCAUACCUUAAAUGUCCAAUGUAGACAUAUCAAACACAUAUUAAGGCUUUUUGUUUUUGAAGGAGAAGACCAUCAGAGAUUGACAGAAUUGAAAGAGAACUAUACUGGGCUGGACGAUGACCGCUGUUUUCUACAGAGCUGCUUUGUAGAUGAAUAGAACUGAAUCAACACUGAACUGAUUUCAACUGAUAUUAAAUUCGCUCAACUGGUUCAUCGAAAACAGCUAGUCAUUCGGCAGACAGUGAACAAAAACGACAGUAUUAUAUAGUAAACAACAUAUUAAACCUAAAUGAUAUAUAUAAAAAAUAGAAAAUUUGAGCGAAUGAAACGCCAUUAAUACCAGCAUAUUCCUGAACUACAAUAACGUGCUGAAUUAACAAAUUUAUCUUUAACAUUUAAAUUCAGCAAAAAUUUACAGGCUCCACUAUCAGUGAUAGGCUCACGUUAACAUCAUCGAUCAAAAGCAAGUUUCACGGUCUACCAAACACUAUAAUACAGCUGAAGAUUAAAACAUUUUUUUGUGUGUGUGUGUAGUUUUUGCUAAGUGUCCAAAUUAAAAACAACUAAAAUGGAAAUCUAAAAACUUAUCUCAGAUGUCCAGUCUCCAGAUUGACAAACAAAACAGGGCAUUAAAUUGACAAAUAAAGUUACAAAACAUUAAAAAUACUAAACAUUAUACAUCUAAAUGAGCAAUUAACGGUACAUAUGUAAAAAAUGAUGACUGAAAAUAAAGUUAUAGCUCUUACCUUUACCUCUGAGAACUCCCGUUGGUUGGCUGACGACCGUUACGGAACAAAAUGACGCGCAUGCGCAGUACUCCAAAAGUCCGUGAGUGCUGCUAGUGGUUUUUAAUUCAAAUUACGUUACAGUUAAUAACAUUGUAAAUCUAGCGAUUUUAUUCAUUUAUUUAUUUUUAUUUGAUGUACAUUUAAACGUUAUAAUACACUGGCAUUAAAUUACAAACAAACAAAUAAUAGAUUAAAAUACACAUUUGUGAGGGUGUUUCUAAUACAAAGGCUGAGGAUCAAGUAACCGUAAAUUUGACUUUUUUUUCUGCCGUGAUCAAUCACUCUGUAUUUUUUGGGAAGAUCACGUGUGAACAAAAGUGAUUAGUGUGGAAAAUAUGGGAAAUUCAUGUUGUUGUUGUUGUUUUCUGUAAGUGUUUAAAAUUCUUCUAACAUUUAGCUAAUGGAUACAAAAUGUAGUGUGAUUGCUAGCUACUAGGCUUUCUUCCACCCAUAUUUGCAUAUUGUCGACUGUAAGAUUGGAAAUGUAUUUUUUUGCCCCUGAAAUACAUUUUUAAAUAUAUUUUAAGGUUGAAACAAAAUAUAUUUUCAGUUUCAAAAAUAUAUUUCAUUGAUCUUCACUGUUUAGGCCUAUAUGUACCAUAUAUUUAAAAUAUAUUUUAUUUUGGUGAGAUAAAAUACAUGUUUUCUCUGUAUGGGUAAAGCAGCUCUAAAAGACAGUAGUGAUAUUAUUCAGAUCAAGUUUUGUUCUCAUUGUAUCAGUGCAGUUUAAUCGAAAAUAAAGAGUUUUAAACCCUAA